UUUGCCACUCAGAAUGAAAUUAAAGAGCUCC
rnacentral:piRNA from 1 species